rnacentral:rRNA from 1 species
AGAGUUUGAUCAUGGCUCAGGAUGAACGCUGGCGGCGUGCCUAACACAUGCAAGUCGAACGGAUCCAUAUUGAAACCUAGUGAUGUAUGGAUUAGUGGCGGACGGGUGAGUAACGCGUGGAUAACCUGCCGUAUACAGGGGGAUAACACUUAGAAAUAGGUGCUAAUACCGCAUAAGCGCACGGUUCCGCAUGGAACAGUGUGAAAAACUCCGGUGGUAUACGAUGGAUCCGCGUCUGAUUAGCCAGUUGGCGGGGUAACGGCCCACCAAAGCGACGAUCAGUAGCCGGCCUGAGAGGGUGAACGGCCACAUUGGGACUGAGACACGGCCCAAACUCCUACGGGAGGCAGCAGUGGGGAAUAUUGCACAAUGGGGGAAACCCUGAUGCAGCGACGCCGCGUGAGUGAAGAAGUAUCUCGGUACGUAAAGCUCUAUCAGCAGGGAAGAAAAUGACGGUACCUGAUUAAGAAGCCCCGGCUAACUACGUGCCAGCAGCCGCGGUAAUACGUAGGGGGCAAGCGUUAUCCGGAUUUACUGG